GAUGAACGCUGGCGGCGUGCCUAAUACAUGCAAGUCGUGCGGAAAGGCCACUUCGGUGGUACUCGAGCGGCGGACGGGCAGAGUAACGCGUAGGAACAUACCCCAAACUGAGGGAUAACUGCUCGAAAGAGUAGCUAAUACCGCAUGUGAUCUUCGGAUUAAAGCUUCGGCGGUUUGGGAAUGGCCUGCGUCCGAUUAGCUUGUUGGUGAGGUAAUAGCUCACCAAGGCGACGAUCGGUAGCUGGUCUGAGAGGAUGAUCAGCCUGACUGGAACUGAGAACGGUCCAGACUCCUACGGGAGGCAGCAGUAGGGAAUUUUCCACAAUGGGCGAAAGCCUGAUGGAGCAACGCCGCGUGCAGGAUGAAUGCCUUCGGGUUGUAACUGCUUUUAUUAGUGAAGAAUAUGACGGUAACU
rnacentral:rRNA from 1 species